rnacentral:rRNA from 1 species
CAGUAGCCGCGGUAAUACGUAGGUGGCAAGCGUUGUCCGGAAUUAUUGGGCGUAAAGCGCGCGCAGGUGGUUUAAUAAGUCUGAUGUGAAAGCCCACGGCUCAACCGUGGAGGGUCAUUGGAAACUGUUAAACUUGAGUGCAGGAGAGAAAAGUGGAAUUCCUAGUGUAGCGGUGAAAUGCGUAGAGAUUAGGAGGAACACCAGUGGCGAAGGCGGCUUUUUGGCCUGUAACUGACACUGAGGCGCGAAAGCGUGGGGAGCAAACAGGAUUAGAUACCCCUGUAGUCCCUGUCUCUUAUAC